rnacentral:lncRNA from 1 species
CCCACGCUAAUGAAUUAAUUUUUUAUUAAAAUUAAAAAUUUGGUUGCAUGUAACUGAUGUUAAGGAAUAGUUAAUUUAAAAAUGACUUAAAUACUAAUUAGUUUCCUACUUUGGUCUAUUUUAUUUAGUCUGGUCAUGAUUUUUUUCUACUGUCCAAUUAUUUCCAUUUUAUUAAUUUGGGUUAAAUAUGUUUUUAGUCCCUAUACUUUGGGGUGAUUUUGGUUUUAGUCCAUUUUCAAACUAAGGUACAAUUUAGUCCUUUAACUUUAGAAAACUCUGGUUUUAGUCCUUUUUACCAAAUUUUUUUAAUUUUAUUUGUUGUUUCAAGCACGUUUCAUUAUAGUAUUUGGAUUGUUUACACUGUUUGACACAUUUUUGCUUCAAUGUUAACUGGGAAACACAUUUGAAACAACAAAUAAAGUUAAAAAAAAUGGGUAAAAAAGACUAAAACCAGAGUUUUCUAAAGUUGAAGGACUAAAUUGUACCUUAGUUUGAAAAUGGACUAAAACCAAAAUCGCCCCAAAGUAUAGGGACUAAAAACAUAUUUAACCCUAUUAAUUUUGUUCGUGGUAACCAUUUUUGCUAAUAAUGUUUAAUUAAUUAACACUAGAGUGUACAACAUGGCCAUUACUUUUACAUGACACUCUACCUUAUUCAUUUUUUCUUCAUACGUUCAUUUUCGUGAAUCAUUCUCUUCCUCACCUCCAUCAUCAUCAUCUUCCUCAUCUCCAUUAUCAGUUCCAUCAUUGAAUCAUUCAUCGUCUCCUCCAUUAUCACCCACACAAAGGAAUCUUAUUUUGAGAUGACCUAAUUUCUAGAUUAUUUAUCUUGUAUUUACUUUCAUGUCCUUUAGUUUAUGUUUUUGCCAAGAGAACCCUUCCAUCACCUAUGAAAGGAGGUCUCUUAGAUUUGUAAACAUAUGUUGAAUAUUUAUAGUUCUUACACUUAUGUUUGACCAACAUUUGUUCUCUCUUGAAAGUGUGAUCACCCCCUAGUCUUAUCUUGUGUCUAAGAUUGAAGUGGCGGCAACACCCACUUAUCUUAAGUUUGGUGAGCUUUGUGCCCCCUCAAAUGGCAUGCUACACCAUAAAUCCCCCUCCCCUUUCUAGUCUUUCAUCUUUUACUCCAUUUUACUUCUUUUUUGGGUUCAUACAAUGCUUAGUACAUUCAAAUAUGCUUAUCUUCUUAUCUUUCCUUUUUGUUUUUUUCUUAAUUUAAUCUAUUUUCUUCUUGUGAAUUCUUUGGAAGUGAACCUUCACAUCUAGAUAACCUCUUGGUUAUCUUAAUAUUGAUCCAGGACCUUC